GGCGGAAUAGCUCAGUUGGUAGAGCACAACCUUGCCAAGGUUGGGGUCGCGAGUUCGAGUCUCGUUUCCGCUC
rnacentral:tRNA from 1 species